rnacentral:rRNA from 1 species
GACGAGGGGUCCAAGCGUUGUUCGGAAUCAUUGGGCGUAAAGCGGGUGUAGGUGGAUUUAUAAGUCAGGAGUGAAAGCCCCGAGCUUAACUUGGGAAGUGCUUUUGAUACUGUAAAUCUUGAAUGUGGGAGAGGAUCGUGGAAUUCCAGGUGUAGUGGUGAAAUACGUAGAUAUCUGGAGGAACACCGGUGGCGAAGGCGGC